CCGGAAUCAAGGUUGUCACACCAACCAUUGUCACACCCUCAGGGUCAAAGCGCAAGGGAAACUCCAAGGAACAACAUUAUCACCAGGAACACAGACCAUCCAGCGUGUCUGUUCCAGGAUCUGCCAUCUUGAAGACAGCAGGGAACCACCAAUAUAGGCAGGCAAACAGAUCAUCAUCUGUCCACAAGGGCGGAUCAAUGUCGGCAGCCAGCCACGAUAUUGUCACUCCCUGGUCAGCACAACACAAGGGAUGACUGUUGCCACUACAAAGUGGAGGCCUGCCACAAGGGGCAACAAUGCAGUGAAGCUGGUGACGACCCAGGCUGGCCUCCACCAAACCCACUGCCAUCUUCACCAGCAACCAGUCAGGCCAGACCCCCCUCCACAAU